AGGCACAUAGCACAUAGCUCAGUUGGUUAGAGCACCACCUUGACAUGGUGGGGGUCGUUGGUUCGAGUCCAAUUGUGCCUACCA
rnacentral:tRNA from 1 species